rnacentral:lncRNA from 1 species
CCUGAAUAUCAUGGAGGACGAAAUGGAAAUGUAAGAAUUAAUGGAAAAGUUUCAAAACAUAAUAAACUGACUAGCGUUGUAGUUUUAAUAGUUAUCAUAGGAAAAAUAAAGAUAUGUGAUAACCUGCUCCCCAUUCGAUAAAAUAUUCCAGUCCUCUUUGGUCGUCUCUCAGUCAGCGAUACCCAUUACUUUACUCAGGUCUGUGUAUCUUUUCUGCCAAAUUAUAUGUAUAGGCACAUCUUCAAUAUGAAGUCGACAAAUUCCCAGAAUAAAAGGGAGGGAGGUACUGUUUCAAUCAUAUGCCGUAUGUCCCCAUUCAAAAGCAUUGAUCGUAAAAAGGGGGGUUAAAUCAGCCUCCUUGUAUCAAUCACUGCCUACACCAAAAUUAUACGGUAAACGGACAGAAAGUCACAGGACAAAAAGUCACAGGACAUAAAGUCACAAAUUUGAUAGGACAAAAAGUCACAGGACAAAAAGUCACAAAUAAUUUGGUGACAAUUGUUUGAAUAUAUAAGAGAAAAAUAUUUUGAAAUAUUUACUUUUUAAUACAUAUAUUCAUAUUAAAGUUUAGGAAAUGUGUCAUUAUACUUGAAAAAUCAAGAUUUAUUUAAUUUUAAUCAGGCAAAAGAUAUAUUUCUUGGCACCAUGAAGCCAUGUAAGUGCCAAACCACUUUGACAUUUUGUUUUUUUAACAAUUAUUUGAUCAUCUUUGAUAUUUUUUUGAUAAAUUUUGUUAACAAAGUUGGUUUAUAUACAAUAGUUCAAGAAAAAUACAAAAAUAUUUUUGUAGAAAUAAGCGGUUUUUAUUCAAAGAAAAUAAUCAGAAAAAAUGAAUUGUGACUUUUUGUCCUGUGACUUUUUGUCCAUGACUUUUUGUCUGUGACUUUUUGUCCUGUGACUUUCUGUCCUACAUUCAAUUAUACACCUUAUCCCUAUUUGUCCGCCAUUAUUGGAUAUUACACAGGUUCCCGUAAAAAUUAGACCUCACAAAACAAAAUAUCUGACACCACAAUGGAAAAUUGAUAGUUGUAUGCACAAGGAUCCGGAAAUUUUUUCACCUAAUUUCGGUCAUUUUCAUAUAACUCAAAAGUUGGUGCCCCUUUUCAAAAACAGAUUGUCAAAAUCUCAUUACUGCAUGAGUAUGCACCUACUCGUAGCAUCAACGAACUUGUUUAACUGUUGCAUCGCGUUUACUUCAUGAUUUGUCCUACCAUUUUCCUAAAAUCGAUCAAGAGCAAUUAAGGGAAGGCAACAGUUUAAGAAUAAAAUGAUUUUAAUGACUCAAAAUCGUAAUUUUCUCAGUCAUCGCUUACGUUUCUUUCAAUUCUGAAGUGGAAAUUCAAACUGGAUGUAAUGCGACAAUACUAAAACGAACAAUUCCGGACUUAUUCCCGGGAUUAGUUUUGUUUAUCAAAUUCACAGGAAAACAUCGGUUUUUUUUUUAAAAUAUUUUACCUUUAAUAGUGUAAGAAUAUUAAUGAAAAUAGUUGCACUUGCUUUAUUUAGCAAGAAAUCAUUUUAAAUUUACUAUUUAGUGUAAAAUCUGCGGAAGAGAAUUUUAGGCAUGCGUAUCAUAGCACGUGUGUUAGUAGUGAAAAAAAUCUUUUUUCUACGUAAAUUAAAUCAAGUUUUAAUUUAAUUUUAAAUCAUAUUGACAAUUGUCUUAGCUGAAAAGUAAUUAAAUAAUGAAGACAGUUGGUAUUGAAUUUUAAUUUCUUUAUAAUAUUAGUUCGGAGCUUGUGAUUAAUAGCCAGGUGUGAAUUAAAAACACAUGUAAAAGAGAUUAGCGAUCAUUAGCCAAUAGCUCCCCGAGGCAUUAAUAUAGCUAUUAGGAGGGCCCUCAGGAUUAUAACACUUUACUGGAGUGCAGUUUUAACUACAUAAAAUCGAUAACAAAACAAAAAUAUGUUUAAAAUGGCGAUUUGACUCAAUCUCAACAAAUGACCGAAAUUAUUUCUGUUGAAAAAUAAAAUUUGACCUAAAUCCCAAUAAAUGAUUUAGGACUUUUGAGUUUCCAGAUCGGUCAUGUCUGGCAUAUAUGACCGUUUCCGGACCCUUGUGUAUGCAUCAAAAGUUCAAGCGGCCGGGUCAGCCGGAUUAGCGAUAAGGUGUAUAAGGCAAUAUCAUAUACCUUUAUAUUUAUAAAAUCUGAAUAUAAGUGUCAAAAUAACAUACCUUUAUUUCUUUUCACAUUCUCAUAGCUUUAUUCUUUUUGGGUAUACUUGAAUUGUUUUACAUUGUCUUAUCAGGGCCUUAUAUAGCUGACUAUACAGUAUGGGCUUUGCUCAUUGUUGAAGGCCGUAGGGUGACCUAUAGUUGUAAAUGUCUGUGUCAUUUUGGUCUCGUGUGGACAGUUGUCUCAUUAGCAAUCAUACCACAUCUUCUUUUUUUUAUAGUGAAUCCAAUAUUAAUUGACUAGGAUUCUAUGUCAGUUUAAGAGAUAACUGUAUUGUAUUUGAAGCUUUAAGGACGUCCAUCGGUAGUUUUACUGCGCAAAUUAGUUUACCUGGCGACGCGGAGCGGAGAACAGGUAACGGGUAUUUCGACAGUAAAAACCGAUGGACGUCCGAAAGCUUCAAUACAAUACAGUUAUCUCUAUUCUAAUGCAAAACAAGUUUAUAAUUAAAUUUUAAUCAUUAUUUCAGUGUAAAAUGUUCAUUAAAGAAAAUUCCGCGAAAAGAUGUUAUGUUCUUUGGUCUACACUAUGACGUCAUAGGUAUGCUUCCGGCGUCAAACAUAAACAACGGCCGUUUUCUGGCUUCUGUGCCGCUUCAGAAUGUAAUAAAAUUUGAUAAAAAGAAGAUUUUUAGGCGCAACAAGUGAGUUUUUUGUUUAUUAUUGUAGAAAUAACAUGUCAAUACAUUCCGAAAUUCAAAAUGUCGGCUUCCUUAGUUACAGACAAGGAGAUAGAGAAUUUUACGCUUGCUGUUAUCCAAUCAGAACAAUUGUUACAAAAUAAUUGCAUUAGAAUUUCCUAUUGACUGUGAUUUUUUGGGCACUCUAGAUCUUACUUCCUCCACCAAUAAAAACUGGCUGCCACAAAAGAUCCUAAAGUGGCAUUAAAACACUUAAAAUCAUAUCUAAUCAGUGGAGUCUCCCUCGCAAUUGAAUAUAAAAGUUUGUGAAAUGUUGGCUUUGGGGGCACACAGCAUUAGCCAUAUACAACUUGUUAGGGGGUUUGGGGACAUAGAAUUCUAGUGGAUAUAAAUAAGAAGAUGUGGUAUGACUGAGGCUUAUAAUACAUGUUCUCACCAUUGAUGAUCAAUAAUUUUUCAAUUCUUUUUUAGGUUAUAACAAUUAUUUUUGUAAGUUGCAUACACACAGAAUACCUUUUGUAAAUGGUAGUACUUAUUCGUCAAGCUGGAACCAGCUGAUUCGUCCACUGCAGCUACCAACAUUACACAGGAAGAUGAAAUCCAAACAGCGAAGGAAGAGGAAUGCUGGGUAAAUGAUACAAAGGACAUUGGAGUCCUGACAGGUUAGUUACUAUAUGUCUUUUGUCAUGUUUAUUGAAUUGGUACAAAAAUUCAAUAAUAGAAACUGAUGAUGUGCAUGCUGAUCUAGAAACGAGAUUAAUUAAUCAUAACCCUCCACCCAUCA